rnacentral:lncRNA from 1 species
AUCCCCAAGAAUUUGACCAAUUCCUUAUCAAAUCAAAAGCAAUGGACACGUAUCGGAGCUUACAAAUUUAACUAUUCUAUAAUCUCCUUACUCAUCUUUUGCUCGGUUGGGAGACGGGCGGAAAGCCAAAGGUUGUGGAGAGGGUGUUAAGGUUGGAAGUUGAAAGUUGUAUGGGCUUAAUAUUGUAACACUCCACAUUUAAUUUGGUUGAUAGAUUCGAAUGCAUGAUGUCACAUUACGUUAUCGAAACAAUUUAAUCAUCAAUCAUACUCAC